rnacentral:rRNA from 1 species
GUGCAGCAGGCGAGAAACCUUCGCAAUGCAGGAAACUGCGACGAGGGACUCCCAGUGCCUACGCUCAGCGUAAGGCUGUUCCCGAGCCUAGAAAGCUCGGGGAGUAAGGGCUGGGUAAGACGGGUGCCAGCCGCCGCGGUAAUACCCGCAGCCCGAGUGGUGGCCACUAUUAUUGGGCCUAAAGCGUCCGUAGCCGGCCCGGUAAAUGCCUGGGUAAAUCGUGAGGCCUAACCUCACGAAUUCCGGGUAGACUGCCGGGCUAGGGACCGGAGGAGGGAGAGGGUACGUCCAGGGGUAGGGGUGAAAUCCUGGUAAUCCCUGGAGGACCACCGGUGGCGAAGGCGCUCUCCUAGGACGGGUCCGACGGUGAGGGACGAAA